UUUCUAUGGUUAAUUGGAUGUAUGAAAUGAAUCGAAUGAAAAAGAAAUAUCAAGUUAAAAGCGUUAUUGUUUUUCUUUAUGAACUCUGAACUUCUUAAUCAGUUUAAAUUAAAGGAAAUAAUUAUGGUUAAAAGAAUGGUAUGCAAAAAAAGGAAAAUAACUUUAUUGAACUAAAUGAAUGAUUACAAAAAGAUGUUUAUAACAUUAAUCCUAACCAUCCUUAGGUUUCUAAGCAUGGAAAAAAUUUCCCCAAUCUAACUUUAAUUCUU
rnacentral:lncRNA from 1 species